AAUCCAUAGGUUAAUGAGGCGAACCGGGGGAACUGAAACAUCUAAGUACCCCGAGGAAAAGAAAUCAACCGAGAUUCCCCCAGUAGCGGCGAGCGAACGGGGAGGAGCCCAGAGCCUGAAUCAGCAUGUGUGUUAGUGGAAGCGUCUGGAAAGGCGCGCGAUACAGGGUGACAGCCCCGUACACAAAAGCGCAUGUGCUGUGAGCUCGAUGAGUAGGGCGGGACACGUGGUAUCCUGUCUGAAUAUGGGGGGACCAUCCUCCAAGGCUAAAUACUCCUGACUGACCGAUAGUGAACCAGUACCGUGAGGGAAAGGCGAAAAGAACCCCGGCGAGGGGAGUGAAAAAGAACCUGAAACCGUGUACGUACAAGCAGUGGGAGCACCCUUCGGGGUGUGACUGCGUACCUUUUGUAUAAUGGGUCAGCGACUUAUAUUCUGUAGCAAGGUUAACCGUAUAGGGGAGCCGGAGGGAAACCGAGUCUUAAUUGGGCGUUAAGUUGCAGGGUAUAGACCCGAAACCCGGUGAUCUAGCCAUGGGCAGGUUGAAGGUUGGGUAACACUAACUGGAGGACCGAACCGACUAAUGUUGAAAAAUUAGCGGAUGACCUGUGGCUGGGGGUGAAAGGCCAAUCAAACCGGGAGAUAGCUGGUUCUCCCCGAAAGCUAUUUAGGUAGCGCCUCGUGAAUUCAUCUCCGGGGGUAGAGCACUGUUUCGGCUAGGGGGCCAUCCCGGCUUACCAACCCGAUGCAAACUGCGAAUACCGGAGAAUGUUAUCACGGGAGACACACGGCGGGUGCUAACGUCCGUCGUGAAGAGGGAAACAACCCAGACCGCCAGCUAAGGUCCCAAAGUCAUGGUUAAGUGGGAAACGAUGUGGGAAGGCCCAGACAGCCAGGAUGUUGGCUUAGAAGCAGCCAUCAUUUAAAGAAAGCGUAAUAGCUCACUGGUCGAGUCGGCCUGCGCGGAAGAUGUAACGGGGCUAAACCAUGCACCGAAGCUGCGGCAGCGAACGUAUCACCCAAGACAACUUUACGGAGUUGACGAUUGACGGAGCGAAGCGACGUCAAAGCGUUCAUUAAAGUCGAGUUGGCUUAGGGAUACGUUCGUUGGGUAGGGGAGCGUUCUGUAAGCCUGUGAAGGUGUGUCGUGAGGCAUGCUGGAGGUAUCAGAAGUGCGAAUGCUGACAUAAGUAACGAUAAAGCGGGUGAAAAGCCCGCUCGCCGGAAGACCAAGGGUUCCUGUCCAACGUUAAUCGGGGCAGGGUGAGUCGACCCCUAAGGCGAGGCCGAAAGGCGUAGUCGAUGGGAAACGGGUUAAUAUUCCCGUACUUGGUGUUACUGCGAAGGGGGGACGGAGAAGGCUAUGUUGGCCGGGCGACGGUUGUCCCGGUUUAAGCGUGUAGGUGUGUGUUCCAGGUAAAUCCGGUUCACUUUAACACUGAGGCGUGACGACGAGGCACUACGGUGCUGAAGCAACAAAUGCCCUGCUUCCAGGAAAAGCCUCUAAGCAUCAGGUAACACGAAAUCGUACCCCAAACCGACACAGGUGGUCAGGUAGAGAAUACCAAGGCGCUUGAGAGAACUCGGGUGAAGGAACUAGGCAAAAUGGUGCCGUAACUUCGGGAGAAGGCACGCUGACACGUAGGUGAAGUGAUUUACUCAUGGAGCUGAAGUCAGUCGAAGAUACCAGCUGGCUGCAACUGUUUAUUAAAAACACAGCACUGUGCAAACACGAAAGUGGACGUAUACGGUGUGACGCCUGCCCGGUGCCGGAAGGUUAAUUGAUGGGGUCAGCGUAAGCGAAGCUCCUGAUCGAAGCCCCGGUAAACGGCGGCCGUAACUAUAACGGUCCUAAGGUAGCGAAAUUCCUUGUCGGGUAAGUUCCGACCUGCACGAAUGGCGUAAUGAUGGCCAGGCUGUCUCCACCCGAGACUCAGUGAAAUUGAACUCGCUGUGAAGAUGCAGUGUACCCGCGGCAAGACGGAAAGACCCCGUGAACCUUUACUAUAGCUUGACACUGAACAUUGAGCCUUGAUGUGUAGGAUAGGUGGGAGGCUUUGAAGUGUGGACGCCAGUCUGCAUGGAGCCGACCUUGAAAUACCACCCUUUAAUGUUUGAUGUUCUAACGUGGACCCGUAAUCCGGGUUGCGGACAGUGUCUGGUGGGUAGUUUGACUGGGGCGGUCUCCUCCUAAAGAGUAACGGAGGAGCACGAAGGUUGGCUAAUCCUGGUCGGACAUCAGGAGGUUAGUGCAAUGGCAUAAGCCAGCUUGACUGCGAGCGUGACGGCGCGAGCAGGUGCGAAAGCAGGUCAUAGUGAUCCGGUGGUUCUGAAUGGAAGGGCCAUCGCUCAACGGAUAAAAGGUACUCCGGGGAUAACAGGCUGAUACCGCCCAAGAGUUCAUAUCGACGGCGGUGUUUGGCACCUCGAUGUCGGCUCAUCACAUCCUGGGGCUGAAGUAGGUCCCAAGGGUAUGGCUGUUCGCCAUUUAAAGUGGUACGCGAGCUGGGUUUAGAACGUCGUGAGACAGUUCGGUCCCUAUCUGCCGUGGGCGCUGGAGAACUGAGGGGGGCUGCUCCUAGUACGAGAGGACCGGAGUGGACGCAUCACUGGUGUUCGGGUUGUCAUGCCAAUGGCACUGCCCGGUAGCUAAAUGCGGAAGAGAUAAGUGCUGAAAGCAUCUAAGCACGAAACUUGCCCCGAGAUGAGUUCUCCCUGAGACUUAGAGUCUCCUGAAGGAACGUUGAAGACGACGACGUUGAUAGGCCGGGUGUGUAAGCGCAGCGAUGCGUUGAGCUAACCGGUACUAAUGAACCGUGAGGCUUAACCUUACA
rnacentral:rRNA from 2 species